CACAUGCAAGUCGAGGGGAAACGACAUCGAAAGCUUGCUUUUGAUGGGCGUCGACCGGCGCACGGGUGAGUAACGCGUAUCCAACCUGCCCACCACUUGGGGAUAACCUUGCGAAAGUAAGACUAAUACCCAAUGACGUCUCUAGAAGACAUCUGAAAGAGAUUAAAGAUUUAUCGGUGAUGGAUGGGGAUGCGUCUGAUUAGCUUGUUGGCGGGGUAACGGCCCACCAAGGCAACGAUCAGUAGGGGUUCUGAGAGGAAGGUCCCCCACAUUGGAACUGAGACACGGUCCAAACUCCUACGGGAGGCAGCAGUGAGGAAUAUUGGUCAAUGGACGAGAGUCUGAACCAGCCAAGUAGCGUGCAGGAUGACGGCCCUAUGGGUUGUAAACUGCUUUUAUAAGGGAAUAAAGUGAGUCUCGUGAGACUUUUUGCAUGUACCUUAUGAAUAAGGACCGGCUAAUUCCGUGCCAGCAGCCGCGGUAAUACGGAAGGUCCGGGCGUUAUCCGGAUUUAUUGGGUUUAAAGGGAGCGUAGGCCGGAGAUUAAGCGUGUUGUGAAAUGUAGACGCUCAACGUCUGCACUGCAGCGCGAACUGGUUUCCUUGAGUACGCACAAAGUGGGCGGAAUUCGUGGUGUAGCGGUGAAAUGCUUAGAUAUCACGAAGAACUCCGAUUGCGAAGGCAGCUCACUGGAGCGCAACUGACGCUGAAGCUCGAAAGUGCGGGUAUCGAACAGGAUUAGAUACCCUGGUAGUCCGCACGGUAAACGAUGGAUGCCCGCUGUUGGUCUGAGUAGGUCAGCGGCCAAGCGAAAGCAUUAAGCAUCCCACCUGGGGAGUACGCCGGCAACGGUGAAACUCAAAGGAAUUGACGGGGGCCCGCACAAGCGGAGGAACAUGUGGUUUAAUUCGAUGAUACGCGAGGAA
rnacentral:rRNA from 1 species